rnacentral:rRNA from 1 species
GACGAACGCUGGUGGCGCGCCUAACACAUGCAAGUCGAACGGAGCUGAGAGGAGCUUGCUUUUCUUAGCUUAGUGGCGAACGGGUGAGUAACGCGUGAGUAACCUGCCCUGGAGUGGGGGACAACAGUUGGAAACGACUGCUAAUAGCGCAUAAGCCCACGGCCCGGCAUCGGGCUGAGGGAAAAGGAUUUAUUCGCUUCAGGAUGGACUCGCGUCCAAUUAGCUAGUUGGUGAGGUAACGGCCCACCAAGGCGACGAUUGGUAGCCGGACUGAGAGGUUGAACGGCCACAUUGGGACUGAGACACGGCCCAGACUCCUACGGGAGGCAGCAGUGGGGGAUAUUGCACAAUGGGGGAAACCCUGAUGCAGCGACGCCGCGUGGAGGAAGAAGGUUUUCGGAUUGUAAACUCCUGUCGUUAGGGACGAUAAUGACGGUACCUAACAAGAAAGCACCGGCUAACUACGUGCCAGCCGCCGCGGUAA